rnacentral:lncRNA from 1 species
GCUGAUCCCUGGCUGUGGAGAGGAUUCUCCCGAGCCCCUGAAAAAAAAAAAAGGUGGAGAGACUUUGAAAACUUUUCUCUCGAAAAGUCUGAGGAGGCAGAGGACGGCCCGGAGUCUCGUAGCGCACCGCCCUGGUCCCACACCCCCCGCAGCCCUAGGAGGAUCGGUGUGCUGAGCUUGUGGCCAGGAGCUCCCCGAGCCACUUUCGCGCGAGCAGCAGAAAACCUGAGCCGCGGCCCGGCGAGUGUCGGCGGCGCUCUGGGGAGGAGAGGCUGGGAAGGGGCUGCGAGAGGUACGGAGGAGACAAGCAGCCCGGGAGGGAGAAUGAACCGGGAGGUUCCUGUACUCCCCCCGCCACCCCAGAUCCUCGUGCUACUCGCAACUGCGGUCUGAGGGGCAGUGGCUUUCCCAGAGUGCACAGAGAAAUGAACCAGCGCCGGUUUUGGUGUUGGGCGAGGGGUUUCCCUCAGCUGAGCACAAAGUCAGGCUGUGUGUCCCAGAUUCUGGCCAAUGGAGAGGUCGUUGAGGGGGUGGGCUGCUGCUGAGUCCUGAGAGAUUCAAAACGCCUGGGCAGCUCAGGAAUUUCCAAAGGGGGAGAUUCUCGGCCAGGAGCUGCGGAGCAACUGCAGCUGCCCAGCAGGAGCCGGCACCCUUCUCUCACAUUCUGCUUGGGAGUCGACUCAGAGGCCUCAAAUCUCAUUACUAGCACUUUGCCCACCCUUUUCUUUUGCUUAGAUGCUACUUAAGAACGUGAGGCUGAGAGGCGGACUUGGUCAGAUCUGCCUGCGUGACAAGCUCAGGACAGGACGCUUCUGCCCUUGCAUUACUGUUGUAAAAGUUUCCACCCAGUCCCUGGUCGCACUGCGUUCCCAUCCCGGCAGAUGUGAACUCAAAAACUUCCUCCGCUGUGCAGUUUCAAUUGGCAGACACACCCUGUACCUGAAUGACUCAGAAGGAGGCAGAAUGAACAAACAACAGACCCCUGACUUCUGGGAUUUUGUGAGUUUGCCAAAAAAAAAAAAAAAAGAAGUGACAGUUAAUUCACAGCUGUUUUAAAGCAUUCAUCGACAGCGACGCACCCAAUACAUACCCACAGCUUCAACAACAGUACAGUGCAUAUAAUGUGGAAACCAAGAUAACGGUCCUCUAAGACUCCAGAGUAGAUCCUAAUUGGAUUUGAAGACUUAUUUCACUUAAAGGGGAAGAGGUAUAUUGUGUCUACCCAGCACAACAAAACGGGGGACUUGGCAUUCCCCCCCUUCUCCCGCCUCCACCCACACUAAUUUAUGCAUUCUUUAAAGCCAAAGGAAUCAAAGUGAAAUUUCACACCUAGUCUGUAUCAAGCAUGUGCUAGGUUAAUUUAACCUUACUGCUCUGUGAACAUUUUCCGGAGUGAACCAAGAAAGAAAAGUGGGAGAGUGAAGGAGGGAACACCUCACCAUUUGAUAUUUAGAUUUGAACUGAAUCACCAUGAUGGGAACCCCCUCUACACACUCAGCUCCAUCAGGUGUCUCUGACUCCAGUGACCCUCUGAUUUAACCCAUUCAGAGAAGAAACCUCCAGUCUUCUCCUGGAAUGAGCGUACCGACACUUAUCCUAUUGUACAGGUUGGAGAUGAAGGGCUGGAUAUUUGGCAGCUUAUUUUAAUUAAAACAAUUUUAUUUAAAAAUCAAAAAGGAAUCCUUUUGUAGUUCAUAAGCGUGAUCACUGGGUGUUUACGCACGUGUGAGAUAUGCCAUCCUUGAACCUUGUUAUGAUGUCAGCACAUUACCCAUCUGACAUAAAGAAAAAAAAUCAAACAGGAAAAUAAACAGAAAGUAAAAUAAUGAAGGCAAUGACUACAACAGGGCUAGAGAGAAGUGGUUGGGUGAGUGUGAAAUAUUUUCUCACUGCUAUAGUGGAUACCCUAUAAUCAGGCUUCUUGUUUUCAGAUAAGCAUUUAUUGCCAUUUUCAUAAAUACCUGGAGCUUCUAAGUCCUCUUAUUUGAGGAUCUGUAGUGGGAAUUUGGUUUGCUUCUACAAUCCUCCUGCUAUGGGCUUAGGUCUCAACUUUCUCUGGUUUGUCAAGCCACUUACACACAGUUUGUUUUCUAAAACUUUAUUGCUAUUGUUAGAGGCAAAAUUAACUUUGAAACCAAUGUAGCUUAAACUUGAGUCCUACACUUCCAAAUCCUGGAAGGAACCCAGCAAUAUGUCCCCAAGAUUAUAUGUUUUUGUAAAAUAUUAAAAGCAUGGUAUUUUAACCAAAAUUGGCUAUGACUGACACAGAUCACUGUCUUCUUCCAUUAGGACGUUCCCUCUGUCUCAUUUUCUCUUGUGUAGGAGUGAUUUUGGAGUUGUUGAAGGUAUUUUUGGUUUAUAGGACUAUUUCAACUACCCUCUAUGGCUGCCAUGAUACAAAAGUACAGGGCUGGUGUCACGUGACUGAGCCAGGAGCUAGUCUGGGGGAAAUUCAUCCAAAAUACCAUAUGCAAAUUAUAAUUUGAGGAUUUGAUUCUCAUUGACACCUAAUUAAAACAAAAGUUCUAUUCUUCUCAGAAUAUAUUUACUAACUCAGUAUAUAUAAUUAUAAACACAUCACACU